GCUGCUGGGGGUGGGGUGCUGCUGCUGGGGGUCUGGUUUGGGGGUAACAGACACACAACAGGUCUGGGGGUAACAGACACACAACAGGUCAGGUCUGGGGGUAACACACACACAACAGGUCAGGUCUGGGGGUAACACACACACAACAGGUCAGGUCUGGGGGUAACAGACACACAACAGGUCAGGUCUGGGGGUAACAGACACACAACAGGUCAGGUCUGGGGGUAACACACACAACAGGUCAGGUCUGGGGGUAACACACACAACAGGUCAGGUCUGGGGGUAACACACACAACAGGUCAGGUCUGGGGGUAACAGACACACAACAGGUCAGGUCUGGGGGUAACAGACACACAACAGGUCAGGUCUGGGGGUAACAGACACACAACAGGUCAGGUCUGGGGGUAACAGACACACAACAGGUCAGGUCUGGGGGUAACAGACACACAACAGGUCAGGUCUGGGGGUAACAGACACACAACAGGUCAGGUCUGGGGGUAACAGACACACAACAGGUCAGGUCUGGGGGUAACAGACACACAACAGGUCAGGUCUGGGGGUAACACACACAACAGGUCAGGUCUGGGGGUAACACACACAACAGGUCAGGUCUGGGGGUAACAGACACACGACCGUUUCACAACCGUCGGUUUUUUGGAAUUUCAGGCUCAAACAAGUUGUGAAUCCUGUUUAUUUUUCUAGACUGACUAUUUUAAACUUGGACGUGUGUCUGUCUGGAGAAGAGCGUCUGAAUGAAAAAGAUGAAUUUAACUCUCUCUCUUUCUCCUGUCACUGUCUCUCUGUCUCUCUCUCUUUCUCCUGUCACUGUCUCUCUGUCUCUCUCUCUGUCUCUCUCUCUGUCUCUCUUUUUCUGUCUCUCUCUCUGUCUCUCUCUCUGUCUCUCUCUCUGUCUCUGUGUGUUCCAGUGAGCGUUUUUCAGAACAGAAUCACUUCCCCGUUCAGAACCUCCCCGUCGGAUCCUCCAAAGGAGAUCGUUCUUCAGAACACAGUCACUUUUCCAUUGGAUCCUCUAAAGGAAUUGAUGAUCAUGCUUCAUCUAUAUCACUGGCCCAACUUUCAAAGGUAAACUAUAUAUUCUCUCCUCUUCACCCUACUUCUGUUCUCUCCUCUUCCCUUCUCCCCUUCUCUCCUUAUUUUCUCUCCUUCUCUUCUCUCCUUCUCUUCUCUCCUUAUUUUCUCCUUCUCUUCUCUCCUUCUCUCCUCUCCUUCCCUUCUCUCCCCUUCUCUCCUCUCCCCUUCUCCCCUUCUCUCCUUCCCUUCUCUCCUCUUCUCUCCUUCUCCCCAUCUCUCCUUCCCUUCUCUCCUUCUCUCUUUUCUCUUAAAACAGUUGAGUUGGAUUGAAACUAAGUGUUAAAAAAAAACUGUUUUCAAAAAGUGAUGUUGACUGACUUGGUUGUAAUGAUCUGAUGAUGAUGAUGAUGACUGACUUGGUUGUAAUGAUCUGAUGAUGAUGAUGAUGACUGACUUGGUUGAUAUGAUGAUGAUCUUAAUUGGUGGUUUUGAUGUGAUUUGUUUACUGUCCCUGGUCAUGUAAAGAGAUUUCUCUCUCUGUCUUUUUAGUCUGAAGGAGACGUACACUUGCUGCUGCUUACACUCGUACGUUACACACACACACACACACACACACUCGUUCGUUACACACACACACACACACACACACACACUCGUUCGUUACACACACACACUCAUACGUUACACACACACACACUCGUCCCCGACCACAUAUCCUGAAGAAUGAAGUGUUCGCCUCGUUUUUUUCCCUUCUCUCUCUAAAUGAAGACUCAACGGGUUGUCUUUGUUUGUUUUGCUCAUACGUGACCUUUCACCCCUAGGACACUAAUUUAUAAACAAACCUGUUAUCAAUCUUGCUUUCAAAUCUUAUUGAAGCCCAUGUAACAACUUUUAAAAAACAUUUCAACAAUCCUCUCUACUGCACCAUGCUUUGUCAGCACACUGUGUUUUUGAAGAGAUUUACUUCAUAUAUAUAUACACAUUUAGCAGAUGUAAUUUAUCCUCAAAUAUGUAGUUUGCUGAAGUAAAACACAAACCUACAGUGUGAACCACGGACGUGAUUCUUGGUUGAACCCUUCUGUUGUUGUGAUGGAACUGAUUUUGUUAUUGUUGGUUAUAUAUAUUUAUUUAUACCUUGUGACGUUCAACUAGAGAACAGCAUUUACUACUUUUAAUGGUGUUAACAGGCUGUGAUGACAGUGAGCUGUUAAAAGGACUGUGUUUUGAUUGGGUAGCUGGAAUGUGGGAGUAUGAAUGUUUUAUCCAAUAAAACGUCUCUUGGACCCCUGACCGUUUAUGCGUGUAGCUGUGAUUGGGUAGCUGGAAUGUGGGAGUGUGAAUGUUUUAUCCAAUAAAACGUCUCUUAGACCCCUGACCGUUUAUGCGUGUAGCUGUGAUUGGGUAGCUGGAAUGUGGGAGUAUGAAUGUUUUAUCCAAUAAAACGUCUCUUGGACCCCUGACCGUUUAUGCGUGUAGCUGUGAUUGGGUAGCUGGAAUGUGGGAGUAUGAAUGUUUUAUCCAAUAAAACGUCUCUUAGACCCCUGACCGUUUAUGCGUGUAGCUGUGAUUGGGUAGCUGGAAUGUGGGAGUGUGAAUGUUUUAUCCAAUAAAACGUCUCUUAGACCCCUGACCGUUUAUGCGUGUAGCUGUGAUUGGGUAGCUGGAAUGUGGGAGUAUGAAUGUUUAAUUAAAUGUGUUGUUUUAUCCAAUAAAACGUCUCUUAGACGAAGGAUAAUAUCUGUUUUCUCCCCCAGUGGAUUUACACUUCCUGUCCUUUUCUAAAAUAAUUUUUUUAUUUAAAAUUUUAUUUAAAUGUAUUUUAAUUUAUUUUAUAGACUUUUUUAAAAAUAAAGUCGAUUCAAGUGAAUCUGGUAGAUUAGUAUUUUCUCGUGAGAAAUAAGGUGCGUCAGCAAUGUGUUUUCAGACCAGAGUCAAUCUAACAGACUGACUAGGUUAGACACAGAUCUAACAGACUGACUAGGUUAGACACAGAUCUAACAGACUGACUAGGUUAGACACAGAUCUAACAGACUGACUAGGUUAGACACAGAUCUAACAGACUGACUAGGUUAGACACAGAUCUAACAGACUGACUAGGUUAGACACAGAUCUAACAGACUGACUAGGUUAGACACAGAUCUAACAGACUGACUAGGUUAGACACAGAUCUAACAGACCGACUAGGUUAGACACAGAUCUAACAGACUGACUAGGUUAGACACAGAUCUAACAGACCGACUAGGUUAGACACAGAUUCAACAGGACCUAACAGACUGACUAGGUUAGACACAGAUCUAACAGACUGACUAGGUUAGACACAGAUCUAACAGACUGACUAGGUUAGACACAGAUUCAACAGGACCUAACAGACUGACUAGGUUAGACACAGAUCUAACAGACUGACUAGGUUAGACACAGAUCUAACAGACUGACUAGGUUAGACACAGAUCUAACAGACCGACUAGGUUAGACACAGAUUCAACAGGACCUAACAGACUGACUAGGUUAGACACAGAUCUAACAGACUGACUAGGUUAGACACAGAUCUAACAGACUGACUAGGUUAGACACAGAUCUAUCAGGACCUAACAGACCGAC
rnacentral:lncRNA from 1 species